rnacentral:lncRNA from 1 species
AUUGGCUAAAGCUUUUCUGAAAAGAAAACAUUUUCCCCGGAAGUUCUAAUAAUCACCAUUUGCAAAAUCAAUAGAGGCUUAGAAGCCGCGUCCUGUGGAGGGAGGGGAGGUGGAGCCGGAGGAUAGAGCAGAGAGGCUAGAAGUCAGCUUGGCUUCUUAGCUACCGUGUGUGUAGGAUCAUACAUAGAGUCACCCUGGGCAGAUAUUCUUGCCUUAAAAACAUGCAUAGUAGCUGAGUGGUGGUGUCUCAUGCCUUUAAUCCAGCACUUUGGAAGCAGAGGCCAGCCUGUUCUACAAAGUGAGUUCCAGGACAGCCAGGACAGUUACACAGAGAAACCCUGUCUUGAAAAACAAAUCAUCAAAACAAAACAAAACAAACAAACAAAGCAGACGUGGUAAUACUCUUCAAAGGACGGCCAAAUGGCCCAGGAGCCUGUCACAGCAUGUGAUUAUCUGUAUCAGCACCAUCUUGUCUACUGGACCACAGAGAGACCCUGGGGCACCUUCAGCUCAUCUCUGGAUCCUAGCUGGCACCACAGCACCUGGCUUGGAUGAGGCAAUGGGUGUCAGGAGCCAUCAACAGUGCCUGCAGCUAACACAGAAGAGCCUACUGUGCACCAGGCUCUGUGCCGACACGUCACCUCAGCAUUCCUACUAAUUCUUGGAGGGUACUACCUACAUUUUACUCUAGAGGGAACAGGGACACAACAAAGAAAAUUGCAAAGGUCAUAAGAGAAUUAAGAGAUAAUUCAAACUCUGGAAGUUUUCCUCCAUAUUCUUUAUUUCAGACAAUAGUGGUGGGGUUCAGAACAUGCUACCCCAAAACACAUAUGUCACCUUAGCAUGUGAGGAAAUUAGAGAAGCAGGAAGACUUUCUGAUCCCCACUCGCCUUGCUUGCAGAAUUCUCCAUCUCUUCUCUAAAGUAAGUCAUAGCAUCCCUACUCUGGGGUGGGGUGGGGUGGGGUGGGGUGGGGGUGUCUUUCUCUAAGACAGGAUAGAAACACAAAGACACUUGGAGGACCAUGAGAAGGAAAAGGAACCCUUCAUCUUGGAGACUAGUUUAAGCCUCUUUCCAUAGAGAAGGUAGAGUUUCAGUGCAAUUAACAAUCGCUUAAGGGCUUUCUCCUGACCCAGCUAUUAAGUCUGGAGUUUCCUAGGAAUCUCACCAGAAACCCUGGAUACCGGUACAUAUUAAAACUGCUUGUGCAACCUAGUGGCUCCUGGUUUUACUUUG